rnacentral:tRNA from 1 species
ACCGCGAUAGCUCAGCUGGUAGAGCAUCUGCCCGGUAUGCCGAGGGUCGCCGGCUCGCGGCG